rnacentral:rRNA from 1 species
AGCGAACGCUGGCGGCAGGCUAAACACAUGCAAGUCGAACGCCCCGCAAGGGGAGUGGCAGACGGGUGAGUAACACGUGGGAACGUACCCUUUGGUUCGGAAUAACUUGGGGAAACUCAAGCUAAUACCGGAUAAGCCCUUAUGGGGAAAGGUUUACUGCCGAAGGAUCGGCCCGCGUCUGAUUAGCUAGUUGGUGAGGUAAUGGCUCACCAAGGCGACGAUCAGUAGCUGGUCUGAGAGGAUGAUCAGCCACACUGGGACUGAGACACGGCCCAGACUCCUACGGGAAGCAGCAGUGGGGAAUAUUGGACAAGGGGGGCAACCCUGAUCCAGCCAUGCCGCGUGAGUGAUGAAGGCCUUAGGGUUGUAAAGCUCUUUUACCCGGGACGAUAAUGACUGUACCGGGAGAAUAAGCCCCGGCUAACUUCGUGCCAGCCGCCGCGGUAA